rnacentral:misc_RNA from 1 species
GUCCACUCCAUUUCAUUUCAUGAAUUCUUAAAUCUCCAAUUUCUCCCAUGACAUUCAACUUUCGCUCCUACUUCAAAUCUCACCAUCCUCAAACCCUAGCUUCCCUCAAGUCUAUUCUCAAUUCCCUCUUCACUCUCCUAUCUAAAUUCAAUCCCAUGGCCGCAAAUCAAAACUCAGUUCAUCCUUCCGAUGAUCCUCCGCCGUUUGAUCCAUCAGAACCUUCGAUUCCCGUAUCAUAUCCACUCAAAACACUGGAAGAACUUGAGUCGAGAUCCUAUUUCGAUUCUUUUCACUUCCCCUUCAGUAAGGCCUCUGUGAAGUUGCCGCCUUACGCCGCCAAUGAACUACCGAACCGGCGUAGGCUUCUGGUGUGUCACGAUAUGGCUGGAGGAUACCUUGACGAUAAAUGGAUACAAGGAGGGAAUAAUCCUGAUGCUUAUGCAAUAUGGCAUUGGUAUUUAAUUGAUGUAUUCGUCUAUUUUUCUCAUUCAUUGGUUACUCUACCGCCUCCUUGUUGGAUUAACACUGCUCACAAG